rnacentral:rRNA from 1 species
UACGUAGGGGCAAGCGUUGUCCGGAAUCAUUGGGCGUAAAGAGCGUGUAGGCGGCUCGGUAAGUCCGCUGUGAAAGUCCAGGGCUCAACCCUGGAAUGCCGGUGGAAACUGUCGAGCUAGAGUCCGGAAGAGGCGAGUGGAAUUCUGGUGUAGCGGUGAAAUGCGCAGAUAUCAGGAGGAACACCAAUGGCGAAGGCAGCUCGCUGGACGGUACUGACGCUGAGACGCGAAAGCGUGGGAGCGAACAGG